GAUGAACGCUGGCGGCGUGCCUAAUACAUGCAAGUCGAGCGAACGGACGAGAAGCUUGCUUCUCUGAUGUUAGCGGCGGACGGGUGAGUAACACGUGGAUAACCUACCUAUAAGACUGGGAUAACUUCGGGAAACCGUAGCUAAUACCGGAUAAUAUUUUGAACCGCAUGGUUCAAAAGUGAAAGACGGUCUUGCUGUCACUUAUAGAUGGAUCCGCGCUGCAUUAGCUAGUUGGUAGGGUAACGGCUUACCAAGGCAACGAUGCAUAGCCGACCUGAGAGGGUGAUCGGCCACACUGGAACUGAGACACGGUCCAGACUCCUACGGGAGGCAGCAGUAGGGAAUCUUCCGCAAUGGGCGAAAGCCUGACGGAGCAACGCCGCGUGAGUGAUGAAGGUCUUCGGAUCGUAAAACUCUGUUAUUAGGGAAGAACAUAUGUGUAAGUAACUGUGCACAUCUUGACGGUACCUAAGCAGAAAGCCACGGCUAACUACGU
rnacentral:rRNA from 1 species